rnacentral:rRNA from 1 species
AACGCGAAGAACCUUACCUGGGCUCGAAGCGCAGUGGACCGGGGUAGAAAUAUCCCUUCCCCUUAAAAGGCUGCUGCGUAGGUGCUGCAUGGCUGUCGUCAGCUCGUGUCGUGAGAUGUUGGGUUAAGUCCCGCAACGAGCGCAACCCUUAUCCCUAGUUGCCAUCGGGUCAAGCCGGGCACUCUAGUGAAACCGCCUGGGAUAACCAGGAGGAAGGUGGGGAUGACGUCAAGUCCUCAUGGCCUUUAUGUCCAGGGCUACACACGUGCUACAAUGGCCGGUACAAACCGUCGCAAACCCGUGAGGGGGAGCUAAUCGGAAAAAGCCGGCCUCAGUUCGGAUUGGAGUCUGCAACUCGACUCCAUGAAGCUGGAAUCGCUAGUAAUCGCGGAUCAGAACGCCGCGGUGAAUACGUUCCCGGGCCUUGUA